UACGUAGGUGACAAGCGUUGUCCGGAUUUACUGGGCGUAAAGAGCGCGCAGGCGGUCGUUCAAGUCGAGUGUGAAAGCCCCCGGCUCAACUGGGGAGGGUCAUUCGAUACUGAUCGACUCGAAGGCAGGAGAGGGAAGUGGAAUUCCCGGUGUAGUGGUGAAAUGCGUAGAUAUCGGGAGGAACAACCAGUGGCGAAGGCGACUUCCUGGCCUGUUCUUGACGCUGAGGCGGCGAAAGCUAGGGGAGCAAACGGG
rnacentral:rRNA from 1 species